UACAGGACUAAUUUACAGUGAACGACUAAGAGUUUGUGAAGACUCAUUGAACUAAUUUAACUCUCAAAUCACUUGAUGCCACAUGGUUUUUCUAGUGUUUGUUUAGGUGAAAGCAUGUUCAGGUGUGACUGCACCACAUCUGUGAGUGAACCUUCUCCCUUAAGUGGACGUCAUUUAGAUCAACUUUCCUGUGGCUUACUAUGAACAAUGAAGAAGAGGAUGCAAAAGGAACACCUAAAGGAAGAGACUUUGAGUCCACAUAGCCGUGUUGCAAUCAUUCAUGAGAUCAAGUCGUCCGUGCAAAGUUCUUAAGCAUUAGAGUAAGAGGCAAGGAUAUGUUACUUUUCUUUUCUUUUCUUUUCUUUUUCUUUCUUUCUUUCUUUUUUUUUUUUUUGGAGUUAGGAUUCUUUACUAGGUAUUAGUUCAGACAGAUGCUCUGGUUCUGCGAUUCCCUCUCCCUAUAGGUCACAGUGAGAGGGUUUCUUCAGAAGAGCCUGUGGUGCUGAGAGUGUUGAGCCCCAGGGUCAGAAGCAGAACUGGAAAGCCUCCAAUACAUGCUGCUUCCAUGUUUCCAGGCUGGGCAGCAGGGAGGAGAGGCCCGUGACGUGCCAGGGCUCUCCGUCAAACAACAUGGAGGUUUGGUAGGACAGCAGCUGUACACCCACCUCUACCAGGAGGCCGAUCAUAGUGGGCAGCAUCCCAGGGUUGGAGGGUUGAGCCCAGAAUAUGAGCAGGGGUUGGCCACUGCGUAGUGGCACCUCUGGUCUGAAGACAGCUCCGUUGAGCAUCUGCAGCAUGGGUGUGGUGCCCUGGACCAAGCCCACAUCUUGGUAGGGGGCACCUGCCAGGGCCAUAGUCAGGAGGCACUUCCCGCUGCCCUGCUCCCAUGGAACCCCAGGGUUGUGGGAAGUGGUGACAUUGAGGCCAGCCUCUUUCACCAGUAGUUUAGCGUUCACCAAGUUCACGUCUGCCUGCAUAGAUGCUUCUCUCAGAAGGCCGACAAUGACUACAGGCCUCAGGCAGGUCCCAGCAUUAUUCAGAGAUGUUCCUUGUGUAACCACCUGGAUGGUUCCUUUAGGGGAGCCAGCCCAGGCGUGCAUCAGCGUGCCCAAUACUGACCAAUCCAAGGCUUGGUGUGUGGAGAGAAGGCACUGGUGAGGGCCUGGGUGUUCAUGACUCCUGUUAGAGAUUUCCCCUUCACCUUGACCACAAACUGGACUGUGAUUUCCUCCCCACAGAGGCUCUGGGCUUCCUUGGUGCUGGCACCCAGGUGGGGACAGCUGAUGACAUUCUCGUGGUCCACUAAGGCCCGGUCCUGUGGUGGCUCUUCUGUAAACACAUCCAGUGCAGCCCCAGCACACUGACCAGACUGCAGGCCACGCAGCAGGGCACCUUCAUCCACGAUGCCUCCUCGAGCACAGUUCACCACUCGCACGCCUUUCUUGCACUGAGCAAAGGUGCUGUCAUUCAGCAAGCCUGCGGUGGAGGGCAGAGGUGGGGUAUGGACAGUUAUGAAGUCACAGAAAGGCCAGAUCUCCUCCAGCGGCAGCUGCUGAACACCAAAGGAGGCUAUGACUUCAGGAGAGAUGAUGGGGUCAUAGCCUACAGUCUUCAUUCCAAAGGACUGCAUUCGGGUGGCCACCUCUCUUCUGAUUCUGCCGAGGCCAAGAAUUCCCAGUGUCUUCCCAUUCAGUUCUGUCCCCAUGAACUUCUUCCGGUCCCAUUUGCCAUUUUUCAUCCAAGCCGUUGCCUGGGGAAUCUGCCUGGCCAGGCACAUGAUCAUCCCACAGGUGAGCUCCACAGCACCGAGGCUGUUCCCGUUGGGGUGUUCAUGACUAGGAUGCCUUUCCUCGUGACAGCCUCCAGAUCCACAUUGUCCACGUCUGUGCCAGCCCUGCCCACCACCUGGAACUUCUCUGCUGCAUUAAUGACAUCAGCAGUGACCUUAGUAGCUGACCGGACAAUGAGGCCUUCACAGUCCUGGAGUUCAGCUAUCAGCUCCUCCUGGCCAAGUUCUGCUUCUCCACCACUGCAGCCCUCCAUCUUGCAGGAUCUUCCGGCAGCAGGGGUCCAGGCUGUCACUGAUGAGUACUCUGCGCAGAUUUAUGAGCGAAGGCCAUUGCUAGAGUCAGGCCUUAGAAUCAGUUGCUCUGGGUGGGCAGAACCACUUAGUUCAGGAAACUGCAGACAGGGCUGGCUCCGGUGACUGGGCCAUGUUACAUUUUCAAUAAGGUUAUUUCAUACCAUUUUGUAGUUAGAAUAUGAAAUGUAUGUCCCCUGCAGGCUCCAGUUUUAAGUGCUUGACCCCUAAGUGUUGUAGAAUUUUGAAGUCUUUGGGAUCAUAAGACAUGGUGCUGGGCUGGUGGAAGUAGGACUACAGGAAUGUACCAAACUGAACUCAACUGGAGCAUACUAAUAAGGAGUAAGAGUGAAAAGAGGAGAGGAAAGAGGAGGAGGAAUAUUGAAGAGGAAAAGCUGUUAUGUAAAAUGAACUUUAAACUCACUUCUAGUCUGAGAUCGUAUACUACAUGAGUUCAAAGUUCAAGAGCUUCUGGACACUCUCAGACUGUUCAUCAAUUUUCAACAAUAUUUGUAUAUUUGUCCAAGUCUUUCAAGCAUUGGAGAAACUCAGAAAAAUAAAUCAUUCAAUGUAGUCAGACAUUGAAACAAUACAAGCUAUGUACUUUUUUGUUCCUGUGAUCUAUGAAACAUUAGCCUCCAAUCCCAUAAC
rnacentral:lncRNA from 1 species